CAACCUGGGGGGGUGGGCUUGCUCAGGGACCCACAGUGAUGCCAGCCCGAGGAUUUGAACCAGGGUCCUCUCAGUGAUGAACCCUCUUCUUCUCCCCUAGGCCACCACUCCAUGAACUAGUGGGUCAGGAUACCACACAAAGGCCGUCUUAUCAGUAGGAAUUUAGACCUGAUAAUGUUUCUACGUGCAAGACAAACUAAAAUUCAUGAUUCUGCAGCAUGAACUGAGAACAGUUAAAUAUUAUUAUUCUGUUGUAAAAGCUGCGAUUCUAACAUAUUUAAAUCUGCUACCCAAUGACCAUCCUUUCCUUUCUUUUAACCUCACAGCUACAGGACAUGCCGAUAAACAGCUCGGACCACCAGUGGCAGAAAGCCAGAUAAACCUGCUGGGUGAACACUCUUCUUCCUCACCUCAUCCGCCUCGUCUGACUGCUGCUGAGUUCCAGCCCUUCUUACCUGUCCUGGGUCAGAAGAUCUGAAGAUUUGAAGAGGAGGAAUUGCAACUACAUUAGAUAAAGAAUGCUGCAGAUGGAGCUGUCAGGCAGGAGGAGAUGAUGAAUAACACAGGACACUCACAGAUGUAUAGAAGGAGCACAUGCAGAGGGGUGGUGUGAUGGAUGAUGGGGAAGAUGAUCCAAUGUGGUACCAGUUGAAUGAAGAUGAAGAUAAAAAAGAAUAAUAAUAAUAAACAUCUUCCUAAUCUUUUUCCUGAAACAGACAUGUUUAGGGCCAUAACAUUUUUGAGAACCUUGGAUAAUUUACUUUGGCCACAGUUGCCCAGUUAUCCUUAAGACACUGCCUUUGAAUUAUGGUGUUUGCAUCUGUAUUUAAUCUGGAUUUGUCAAUAAAUGGCA